ensembl:lncRNA
AUGAGAUGCUGCUUAGCUUGUAUAUCAAGGAGAUUUGAUGUGCGCCUAAUCUCGCUGGGAAAUCUUUUUGAUAUUGGCUUUUAUUCAUUACUCACCGAGUUACCUCCCACUCUCUCCUUUCUUCUCUCCUUGUCUGUCUGUCUGUCUGUCUGUCUGUCUGUCUGUCUGUCUGUCUGUCUGUCUGUCUGUCUGUCUGUCUGUCUGUCUGUCUGUCUGUCUGUCUGUCUGUCUGUCUGUCUGUCUGUCUGUCUGUCUCUCUCUCUGUCUGUCUGUCUGUCUGUCUGUCUGUCUGUCUGUCUGUAUUCGGUAUCCCCCUACUCGACUCUGUCUCGAUGUGGGAUCAAGCAUCCCAGGCCGCUGCCCUUCUUCGGCAACCUGUUUAUGUUUCGCCAGGGUUUCCUCGACCCGAUAAACCAGAUCAUCAGGACGCAUGGGCGGGUGUGCGGGUAUUAUAUCGGCAGAAGGCCGAUUGUUGUGCUGGCAGACCCAGACAUCAUCAGACAGGUGACUGUGAAGGGGUUCAGCACCUUCCCCAACAGAUUGGUGAGAGCACACACACAUCCCAUGAGCGACUGCCUGCUGAUGCUGAGGGACGAGCAGUGGAAGAGGGUCCGCAGCGUGCUCACGCCCUCCUUCAGCUCGGCCAAGAUGAGAGAGAUGGUUCCUCUGAUUAACACGGCCACUGAUGUCCUGAUGAACAACCUGGACGCCCACGCAGAAUCUGGAGCGGCCUUUGACUUUCACAGGUGUUCCGGCUGCUUCACCAUGGACGUGAUCGCCAGCGUGGCGUUUGGCACUCAGCUGGACUCUCAGAGUAACCCCGACGACCCCUUCGUCCACAACGGACAGAAGUUCUUUGGCUUCACCUUCUUCAAACCCAUCAUACUGGUUUCCAUGAUGUUCCCCUUCCUCCUGACUCUCCUGCGGCGCGUGCUGCCCAAGCGCCGCGACACCGUCAGCGCUUUCUUCACACAGUCCAUCCAGAGGAUCAUCAAGCAGAGAGACGACCUGCCCCCAGAACAGCGGCGCCGGGACUUCCUGCAGCUGAUGCUGGACGCGCGGGGCGGCGGCGGGGAGGAGGUCGUCUCCCUGGAGGACUUUGACGCCGUCUCCCACGCCGCUGGUCCCAGCGACCCGCAACCGGACUCCGCUCCCGCGCCUCCGGCUCCGGGGCUGAAGAAGAAGAGGUGGCUGACGGAGGACGAGGUGGUGGGCCAGGCCUUCAUCUUCCUGCUGGCGGGCUACGAGACCAGCAGCAACACCAUCUCCUUCGCCUGCUACCUGCUGGCCACGCACCCCGAGUGCCAGCGCCGGGCGCAGCAGGAGGUGGACCUCUUCUUCAGCAGACACGAAUCCCUGGAAUAUACCAAUGUCCAGGAGCUGAAGUAUUUAGACAUGGUGUUCUGCGAAGCCCUGCGCCUCUACCCUCCAGGCUUCAGGUAUGGCCGCACUGUGGACGAGGACUGUGAGAUAAGCGGCCAGCCCUUACCUAAAGGAGCCACUGUGGAGUUCUCCAUAGGCUUCCUACAUUAUGACCCAGAGUACUGGCCAGAGCCACACAGGUUCAUCCCAGAGCGGUUCACGGCGGAGGCCCGAGCCAACCGGCACCCCUUCGUGUACCUGCCCUUCGGCGCCGGGCCCCGGAGCUGCGUGGGCGUACGGCUGGCCCAGCUGGAGGUCAAGAUGGCCCUGGUGAACGUGCUGCGCAGGUUCCACCUGGUGGCCUGCGCUGAGACCAAGGUCCCUCUUGAGUUGAAGUCUGAUGUCACUCUCGGACCCAAGAAUGGCAUAUUUCUUAAGAUCACUAAAAGAGAAGCUGAUAACCGAAGCUGA